AAGUCGUAACAAGGUUUCCGUAGGUGAACCUGCGGAAGGAUCAUUCAUAAUUGAGUGUUUUAUGGCACUCUUUAAAAAAAUCCAUAUCCACCUUGUGUGCAAACAAUGGAAAAGAGAGAAAAUUGGAUUCUUUUUUUUAAUUUCCAACUUCUCUAAAAAUUUUAUAAACUCCAUCAAAUUUUUAAUUGAAAACAAUUUUUUUUAAUAAAAAACAUUAUACAACUUUCAACAACGGAUCUCUUGGCUCUC
rnacentral:misc_RNA from 1 species